rnacentral:rRNA from 1 species
UACGUAGGGUGCAAGCGUUAAUCGGAAUUACUGGGCGUAAAGCGUGCGCAGGCGGUUAUGCAAGACAGAGGUGAAAUCCCCGGGCUCAACCUGGGAACUGCCUUUGUGACUGCAUGGCUAGAGUACGGUAGAGGGGGAUGGAAUUCCGCGUGUAGCAGUGAAAUGCGUAGAUAUGCGGAGGAACACCGAUGUCGAAGGCAAUCCCCUGGACCUGUACUGACGCUCAUGCACGAAAGCGUGGGGAGCA